CAGCUUUAAGGCAGGAUGCAAGACACACUGAUUGCCUUAACAUGAAGCACUGGAAAAGAUGCUGAAAUCCUGGGAGGUGGACAUGGAGAUGCUGAGACCCGUGGCCAAGCAGAGCGACUUGAUCUUCCGCAGGUGUCAGAAGUGAGACUAAGGCUGGGAAGCGGGCCACUGGGUUUUCUCUUUGAUGGGAUCCAGCCUUCAGCUCAUCUCAGCCAGGCAGCUUUCACAGACUCAAGACUGUGCAGAGGGAG
rnacentral:lncRNA from 1 species